rnacentral:rRNA from 1 species
AAGCAGAUCUCCUUCGGGAGUGACGCUUGUGGAACGAGCGGCGGACGGGUGAGUAACACGUGGGCAACCUACCUGUAAGACUGGGAUAACUCCGGGAAACCGGGGCUAAUACCGGAUGAAACAAAGCGUCGCAUGACGCAAUGUUAAAAGGCGGCAUAUGCUGUCACUUACAGAUGGGCCCGCGGCGCAUUAGCUAGUUGGUGAGGUAAAGGCUCACCAAGGCAACGAUGCGUAGCCGACCUGAGAGGGUGAUCGGCCACACUGGGACUGAGACACGGCCCAGACUCCUACGGGAGGCAGCAGUAGGGAAUCUUCCGCAAUGGACGAAAGUCUGACGGAGCAACGCCGCGUGAGUGAUGAAGGUUUUCGGAUCGUAAAACUCUGUUGUUAGGGAAGAACAAGUGCCAUUCGAAUAGGUUGGCACCUUGACGGUACCUAACCAGAAAGCCCCGGCUAACUACGUGCCAGCAGCCGCGGUAAUACGUAGGGGGCAAGCGUUGUCCGGAAUUAUUGGGCGUAAAGCGCGCGCAGGCGGUCCUUUAAGUCUGAUGUGAAAGCCCACGGCUUAACCGUGGAGGGCCAUUGGAAACUGGAGGACUUGAGUACAGAAGAGGAGAGUGGAAUUCCACGUGUAGCGGUGAAAUGCGUAGAGAUGUGGAGGAACACCAGUGGCGAAUGCGACUCUCUGGUCUGUAACUGACGCUGAUGUGC